rnacentral:lncRNA from 1 species
GAAUCCCAAGAAGCCCUCCUAGCAUGUGCUCUGAUGCAGCACCGCUGUGCUAACUGGAAGGGGCUGACCCUCAGCUGUAGUUCAAUCUUUCUCCUGCAAAUAUGGAGUCUGUUUUGGUGUGCACACGGAUAUCUUUGUGUGUUGGAUUCUAUUUGGACACAUGGGUGGAAUAUGUGCAAAACUGUAAGUUAUUAUUCCCUCCUUCAAAUCCGUUUCUCUAUCUUCUUGUUUCUCUUAAUGGUGUACCAUCAACCUAAUCACGUAAAAAUUAUAUUUAAUUUCUUCCUCUCUUUCAUCACCUACCUAUUAUCUGGAAGAAGGGAUGAAGUGGAAAAUUUGCCAUUUAUUCCUCUUGUCUCUAAAACUCUGCAGUAGCAUCCUCUGAGACUUUUUCUUUAAGGCAAGAUAUAUAUUACAAAAGCCACAGCAUGGGAUGGCGUUUUAAAGGCAAUCCCUACUUUUAUUUCUGAAAUAGAGAAACAAAGUUAUAAAUAGAAUGUUCAGUAAAGUUAUAAUUGUAAGUGGAGUCUAUGGAAUAAAAACAAAAAAAGUAGAAUGAGGUCUGAGGAU